UACGUAGGGUGCAAGCGUUAAUCGGAAUUACUGGGCGUAAAGCGUGCGCAGGCGGCUAUGCAAGACAGAUGUGAAAUCCCCGGGCUCAACCUGGGAACUGCAUUUGUGACUGCAUAGCUAGAGUACGGUAGAGGGGGAUGGAAUUCCGCGUGUAGCAGUGAAAUGCGUAGAUAUGCGGAGGAACACCGAUGGCGAAGGCAAUCCCCUGGACAGGUACUGACACUCAACUACGAAAGCGUGGGGAGCAAACAGG
rnacentral:rRNA from 1 species